GAUGAAGAACGUAGCAAAAUGCGAUAAGUAAUGUGAAUUGCAGAAUUCAGUGAAUCAUCGAAUCUUUGAACGCGCAUUGCGCCCGCCAGUAUUCUGGCGGGCAUGCCUGUUCGAGCGUCAUUUCAACCCUCAAGCCCCCGGGUUUGGUGUUGGGGAUCGGGCUGUACUCCAGCCCGGCCCCGAAAUCUAGUGGCGGUCUCGCUGCAGCCUCCAUUGCGUAGUAGCUAACACCUCGCAACUGGAACGCGGCGCGGCCAAGCCGUUAAACCCCCAACUUCUGAAUGUUGACCUCGGAUCAGGUAGGAAUACCCGCUGAACUUAAGCAUAUCAAUAAGCGGAGGA
rnacentral:misc_RNA from 1 species